UGCGGGGUGGAGCAGCCCGGUAGCUCGUCAGGCUCAUAACCUGAAGGUCGCAGGUUCAAAUCCUGCCUCCGCAU
rnacentral:tRNA from 1 species